rnacentral:tRNA from 1 species
GGGCCCGUAGCUCAGUGGAUAGAGCGUCUGUCUCCGGAACAGAAGGUCGCGCGUUCGACCCGCGUCGGGCCCA